UUUUGCCUACGGGGCGCAGCAGUGGGGAAUAUUGCACAAUGGGGGAAACCCUGAUGCAGCGACGCCGCGUGAGUGAAGAAGUAUUUCGGUAUGUAAAGCUCUAUCAGCAGGGAAGAAAAUGACGGUACCUGACUAAGAAGCCCCGGCUAACUACGUGCCAGCAGCCGCGGUAAUACGUAGGGGGCGAGCGUUAUCCGGAUUUACUGGGUGUAAAGGGAGCGUAGACGGCGUCGCAAGUCUGAAGUGAAAGCCCGUGGCUCAACCGCGGAACCGCUUUGGAAACUGCGAGGCUGGAGUGCUGGAGG
rnacentral:rRNA from 1 species